rnacentral:siRNA from 1 species
AACUCAUAGGAUUAUGCCACGUGU